UGGGCACGUGAUAUUAACUUUUCCACUAAACAGGUUGCUCAAAAUCAGUUCCUUUGUUACCUAACUUGGUUUGUUUUUUAUUGAGCCUGAGUUUUUGUUUUUCAUUUAAAUUCAGCCUAAAUUCUAAGUAACAAUUGAAAUCAUGAGGAUUUUCAGCAUUACCCUACUGUGCCUUGCCAUCUUUGUGAUUGCUACAGAGGCGCGUAGUGCACAUCGUCGGCGUCCUUACGAAUAUGAUGAACGCGACGACGACGGAAAGAGGCCUUUGGACGAAAAGUCUGGACACGUCGUCAAGAAAAUAGGCCAGCUUCUCAACAAACAAAUUCAGGAAGAAAUGCGGGAACAAAUCUACGACAAAGUUCAUGAAAAUAUCAUUGAGCCUGUCGGAGAAAUCUUGGAAAAAUAACUCAAACAGCGUCCUUACAAGUUUAAUGCCACAUUUGUGGUAUCGCCUUCCUCCCCUACAUUCUGUCACCGGUGUGGCUAUAUUAAGUACCUUGUCAAUCUGUCAGCAAAUAUAAACUUUCAGCAAAUAAAAA